rnacentral:misc_RNA from 1 species
GAUGAAGAACGCAGUGAAAUGCGAUAAGUAAUGUGAAUUGCAGAAUUCAGUGAAUCAUCGAAUCUUUGAACGCACAUUGCGCCCGCCAGUAUUCUGGCGGGCAUGCCUGUUCGAGCGUCAUUUCAACCAUCAAGCCCCCGGCUUGUGUUGGGGACCUGCGGCUGCCGCAGGCCCUGAAAUGCAGUGGCGGGCUCGCUGUCACUCCGAGCGUAGUAGUUACAUCUCGCUCUGGGCGUGCUGCGGGUUCCGGCCGUUAAAAGCCUUAUUUACCCAAGGUUGACCUCGGAUCAGGUAGGAAGACCCGCUGAACUUAAGCAUAUCAAUAAGCGGAGGA